rnacentral:lncRNA from 12 species
AAAAUGUGUUCUGUGGUAGCAGUGGAGCAGUUUGUGAGUGAUGCAUGGGCUCAGUGUUGAGCUUUCUUACCCUUUUCUGAGAUAAUCCAUGCCUGAGCCAAACCCACAUUCAGAAGAGCAGCAGGAGACAAAACCUGGUGUGGAUAAAUAGACUGGAAAUGAGCACACGUGCACCUG